ACCAUUGAAUCUGUGCACUAUUUCAGAUGCAGAAAUAUACUUUGUAAUCUUAUCAGUUUAAGAUUUUUUUCUGCUUUUCUUUCAUAAUUUACAACAUAAAUUAACUGUUCUUGUCAUUAUGAGUCUUUAUGAUCAUAAAAAAAACUGAGCGAUAUAAGAGCAAUCAUGGACUUUAACUACAUGUAAAUAUUAAAAAAGUAAGAUCAUGUUUUGCAUAAAUCCCCCAUUAAUGCUAUAAUUUGCGUUUAUUAUCAUUUCAGCGGCAUUGAAUUAUUUAUGAUGCAGAACCUCUUGUGACGGUUGCCAUUAUAAAUUUGUGUGGUGAUAGAUCAAUUUUAUUGGGAUGAUGGGAUAUGCUUUGAACAACUUCUUAGGAAACAGUAGCUUCAUGUUUCUUGCAUGUCAAGAAUAUAAGCUUCAGUAAAAUUACAGUGACAAUGAUGACAACGCUUCUACGAGAAUUAAAUUUAAAGACUUGACACCUGGUUCCUGGCAUUACAGAAACACGAAAGAAAAUUGCUCUAAAUUUGUUUUGUAUAAUCUUCUGAUUCAUAGAUCAACCGGAAACAGAUUAGCAAAUUUUGUAUGGUUAUACUAUUUACUUUUUUCUUUAAUGGGAAUUUACGUGCACACAAUUUUACCACCAAGGCUGCUGUCAAAUAUAUUCCUGAGUUACUUCAAAAUAGGUUUUGUGAAUUACAGUCAUAACGUAGAAAACAUAAUACAGAAUUCAUGGUGAAAACCUGUUUUGAUUUAAGAAAAUCUUAUUGAAUUAAUUUUAUUGUUUUAUCCAAUAUGGGACAUAAAGUAUAGAGGGAUAAGCAGAACGACUGGUUAAACUAUCUUAUGUUGGCGUCCAAUUGACAGUCGAUCCCCAAUAGAGUUUAAAUGCAAUUGUAAAACAAUACAUUGACAAAAUAUUGUAAAGAUCAUUAAGAUACUAAAAGUCGCUAAAAUAUUUCCCCAUUUGCUUAUGCUUUUCAUAUUUACACUAAUUACAACGGACAAAAGUAUAUUCACAACUAUCAAAAAGGCAAAAUGGCGACUGUUUGGUCGGAAAGAUAACGUACAUGUAGUGCUAGUCUAAAGUUGCUUGUCCCAUUAUAUUUUGUCCAAGAUUCAAUGAAAACGGAUGUUACAUAUAUACUGUAUUAUAAGAUUUAUAAUCAUUUUAUUUUAUUAGAUAUGCAUGUAUAAAUUUCUUAAGCAAUAUUAGAGUAAAAUGAUAUAAAAAGAAUCAUUAGACUUAAGCUAUGCAUGUAUAAAUUCUUUAGCAAUUCAAGAUUGAAAUGGCACAACAAGAAUUAUUUGACAAAAACUAAUUUAUCAUUAAGACUAUUGUUAAAUCUGACGAAGCAAAUACUAAUAGUCUUAUAAUUACAUGUAAUGAAUUUUUGUAAUUUAGUUUGAUAUUUUUUUACUUUUUACUUUUAUAUUUUUGUACAAAUUAAUUGAAAUUGUAACAUUAAGAAACUUUGAAAGGAUGCUUCCAAAAGAAAAUUUUAUAAAUUUGUACAUGUUAUAGUUUGCUUUUUUAUGAUAUCUCAAAUGAUUUUUCAAAUUUAUAUUAUUGUACAUAAUAUAGAUGUUAAUUAAUUGUAUUAUAACUUAUAACGAGUUUGCCAUGUUACACUCGAGUAGUGUCCCUGGUUAUACAUUUACAACUUUUUAUAUAGGGCAUAUUACCUGUCAAAA